AGGAUGCUUCUCAUGGAUACAGAGUCUUUCACUGCAUACCACAUGUGCGACUCCUGCUAAAAGGUGGCCUAUUUGUUCAGUGGUGAAGGAGGCCGCGUUACAUGGAACAUUACCUCUAUCUGUUUCUGGCAGAUUGACUCCUCUGAAUUUUGAUCCCGUUUGGGGACAAUUGAUAUUGCCUCUGCUUUGACAUUUUGUCAGGGUGUGGUACUACUAUUCCAUCCAAAUAGCCAACUCUAGCCACAUCUUUGUGGCCUUUACAGCUACACUGUGUCAUCUGUUAGGCUUUCUGGAUCAUUUGCAAAGACCACAUAACAAUGGGCUAAUAGUCAAAGAAUUUAAUGGACAUUCCAUAUUCUCUGUCAUCUGCAGUAUUGUUGAGUGCUGGACUGGCAAUCUUAAAAAUCAACUAAGAAAAGUGUAUGCUUCUUUGUCCCUUACCUUUUCUUGGUCCACACACUUUAGUAAGGCAAUUUGGUCACUUACGGUGGCUGUUUCAAGAAGGAUUUAUUCCUCUUGGUCACUCCUGGUUUGUGAUCGGAACAGGAGUAGAGAGUUAUAUGGCGCUAUUUUGAAAACAAUGGGAUUCCAUCCUGGCCUUUUCUGGAUGGAGAACUGAGGUCAAGUAGAGUCAACAGUGAAAGUCUUCUGGAAAGGCGGUUAGACUUCCAAACAACACGGAGCAUUUGAGGAGCUUGAAGUGAAAAGAUUUCCCUGGAUUUACAGUGGGCACACGGGCCAAGACAGCUCUGUUCAGAGGAGAUGAUGUUGGGCUUCACAAC
ensembl:lncRNA